rnacentral:ribozyme from 13 species
GGAAAAAAAAGCAAAAAGUAAAAGAGCAAAAGACAAAGCAAGGCCGCCAAGAUAGUCUAUAUUUAUCCCUUUCUGUUGUCUGUUUCUGAUGGCAAAUGCUUUAUGCUUAUGCUUUAUGAAUUAUGAAAUUAUUUACGUCUUUUUUAAACAUACGCUGUUCUUCCGUACUUAAUAACAUCAGC